rnacentral:rRNA from 1 species
AUGUUGUCUGACAAGAUACUGAAGACUGACUGGGAUAUGGCGGGUGGAGGAGCUCAGGUCGUGGUCGGAGCUGAGCGCGCCGAGGAUUUCAUCCCCACGAACAGGUUGCUCAGGACGGUGGACCUGCCUGGCAGGAUCGCCUUCAUGAGCGUGCCUCGUUUAAGGGGACUAUCUUCGAGGCAGGGCCACGAUGAGGGAGCCAGGGAGCCGAUGAUAUUCUACCAGCAGAUCAAGGACAACGAGGACCUCGUCAUGCUCGUCGUCCCUCCAAAGUUCGUGGAGGUGAUGAACACCUGGCUGGUCAUCAAGCGACUCCCGCGUGUGGUCAGGCUCUCAGCCAACAAGGGGUGCGUGUUAUGGGUGCAGGUCCAGAACUUCGAGGGCCAGAUGGUGCUUGGCCGGGGUGGAACUACUUCUGCCGCCGCCAUCGCAUCGUCCCCGACGACCUCAUCAUUGUGCGCAUCUCCGGACUCGGACUGA